rnacentral:rRNA from 1 species
GAGACCCACGCCCACAGUUGCCAGCGUACUCUUUGGAGUGACGGGUACACUGUGGGGACCGCCGCUGCUAAAGCGGAGGAAGGAAUGGGCAACGGUAGGUCAGUAUGCCCCGAAUAUCCCGGGCUACACGCGAGCUACAAUGGUUGGUACAAUGGGUAUCUACCCCGAAAGGGGACGGAAAUCUCCUAACGCCAAUCUUAGUUCGGAUUGAGGGCUGCAACUCGCCCUCAUGAAGCUGGAAUCCGUAGUAAUCGCACAUCAACAGUGUGCGGUGAAUAC